rnacentral:rRNA from 1 species
CGGGAAUUCCGAGACAGGUGCUGCAUGGCUGUCGUCAGCUCGUGCCGUGAGGUGUGGGUUAAGUCCCGCAACGAGCGCAACCCUAUUGCCAGUUGCUACCAGGUAAUGCUGGGCACUCUGGUGAGACUGCCCCGGUUAACGGGGAGGAAGGUGGGACGACGUCAAGUCAUCAUGGCCCUUACGCCUAGGGCUACACACGUACUACAAUGGCGCAUACAAAGGGCAGCGAUACCGCGAGGUGGAGCCAAUCCCAAAAAGUGCGUCCCAGUCCGGAUUGCAGUCUGCAACUCGACUGCAUGAAGUUGGAAUCGCUAGUAAUUCGAGAUCAGCAUGCUCGGGUGAAUGCGUUCCCGGGCCUU